UGAGUACGAGAUGCUACGGCAUCGAAGCAGUCUAUGUCAUACUUCCAAGAAAAGCUUGCACUGUCAUAAACAAAGAAUGCCUGUACCAUAACCGACACAGGUGGGUAGGUAGAGUAUACUAAGGGGCGCGAGAUAACUCUCUCUAAGGAACUCGGCAAAAUGACUCCGUAACUUCGGGAGAAGGAGUGCCUUAUUUCUAAGGUUGCAAUAACAAGAUCCAAGCAACUGUUUACCAAAAACACAGGUCUCCGCUAAGUCGUAAGACGAUGUAUGGGGGCUGACGCCUGCCCAGUGCCAGAAGGUUAAAGAAGUUGGUUAGCAUUAGCGAAGCUGAUAACUGAAGCCCUGGUGAACGGCGGCCGUAACUAUAACGGUCCUAAGGUAGCGAAAUUCCUUGUCGGGUAAGUUCCGACCCGCACGAAAGGCGUAAUGAUUUGGAUACUGUCUCGGAGAGGGGCUCGGUGAAAUAGACUUGUCUGUGAAGAUGCGGACUACCUGCACCUGGACAGAAAGACCCUAUGAAGCUUUACUGUAACUUGAGAUUGAAAUUGGACUUUAUUUGCGCAGUAUAGGUGGGAGGCGUUGAGAAUAAUCUUGCGGGAUUGUUGGAGCCAUCAGUGAGAUACCACUCUUGUAAUGUUAGAUUUCUAACUUUGUAUCAUUAUCUGGUCAAAGAACAGUUUCAGGCGGGCAGUUUGACUGGGGCGGUCGCCUCCCAAAGGGUAACGGAGGCGCACAAAGGUUUCCUCUGAACGGGUAGAAAUCGUAUCUAGAGUGUAAAGGCAUAAGGAAGCUUGACUGUGAGACCUACAAGUCGAGCAGGGACGAAAGUCGGUCUUAGUGAUCUGACGGUGCUGAGUGGAAAGGCCGUCACUCAACGGAUAAAAGUUACUCUAGGAUAACGGGCUGAUCUCCCCCAAGAGUUCACAUCGACGGGGAGGUUUGGCACCUCGAUGUCGGCUCAUCGCAUCCUGGGGCGGUAGUCCGUCCCAAGGGUUGGGCUGUUCGCCCAUGAAAGCGGUACGCGAGCUGGGUUCAGAACGUCGUGAGACAGUUCGGUCCAUAUCCGGUGUAGGCGUUAGAAUAUUGAGAGGAGCCUUCUCUAGUACGAGAGGACCGAGAAGGACAUACCUCUGGUGUACCAGUUAUCGUGCCAACGGUAAACGCUGGGUAGCUAUGUAUGGAGUGGAUAACCGCUGAAAGCAUCUAAGUGGGAAGCCCACCUCAAGAUAAGUAUUCUCA
rnacentral:rRNA from 1 species